rnacentral:rRNA from 1 species
AACGAACGCUGGCGGCAGGCUUAACACAUGCAAGUCGAACGCGCCUCCCGGGGAGUGGCAGACGGGUGAGUUACGCGUGGGAACGUGCCCUUCGCUUCGGAAUAGCCCCGGGAAACUGUUUUGAAUACCGGAUACGCCGUAUUGGGAAAGAUUUAUCGGCGAAGGAUCGGCCCGCGUUGUGUUAAGUAGUUGGCGGUGUAAUGGACCACCAAGCCUACGAGGUAUAGCUGGUCUGAGAGGCUGAUCAACCACACUGGGACAGAGACACGGCCCGAACUCCACCGGGAGGCAGCAAUGGGGAAUAUUCGACGAUGGGCGCGAGCCCAACACAGCCAUGCCGAAAGAGUGAUGAAGACCCCAGGGUUGAAAAGACAUUUCACCGGAGAAGAUAAUGACGGUAUCCGGAGAAGAAGCCCCGGCUAACUUAGAGCCAGCAGCCGCAGUAA